GCUGUCAGGAAUUUAAUGGAACUUGGCACUGGAAACUGUACAACAUUUACAGAGAACCACACACUGUGUCUAUGUACACCCUCUGCCCAUUCCCAAAGUUCCCAGCCACACAUGGGACAUGCAAUGACAACCCCUGGAUGUGGAGUCACCACUCCCCAAUCCUGGAUUUCAGGUGACAAGGACUGCAGGAUCCCAGACACCAAUCCUGGAUUUCAGGUGACAGGGAUUAGAGGAUCCCAGUCCCCAUCCUGGAUUUCAGGUGACAGGGACUGCAGGAUCCCAGUCCCCAAUCUUGGAUUUCAGGUGACAAGGACUGCAGGAUCCCAGUCCCCCAUCCUGGAUUUCAGGGACACCCUGCUGUGCUCAGAGCUGUCACCACUUUGCUUCCCACGACGCUCUGCAGCGCCAUUCCCAAGCUGGGUCUUGCCCUGGAUUUUCCCUGGAUCUUUGGAGUGCUAGAAGAUGGCAGUGCUGCCACCCUGAGUAUUUACAACCCCUCCUUCUCCUCUCCUCACACCUCCAACUCUUCCUCUCCUCUACCUUUCUACCACAUGCAAGAACCCCUUGGUUGCCUCCAAGUCCUGCUUCCCUGAGGGAAGCGUUUCAUUUCCAAAAGGCAACAAAAACACGGAAUCUACCUUCACUCCCUGCUACCCCUCUACUCACUGCUCCCAAACCCUUCUACAACGUGCCUACAACCUUCCUACACCCUAGAGUAAAGCAGUUCUCUUUCAGUAGUGUCUCCCCUCAGCCCGUGGAUUGCUCCGGGGUGAUGUGAGGGACACUUGGGACAUCACCCCUCGGAGCACGAAGGAUCAAGUACUAGAAAGGAAAUGCCAAGUCUGAGCAUCAAAAAUACAAAAAUAAAAAAAAAACCAAUCAAAGGAAACAAAGAAAAACCACCCCAAAAUCCCAACCCCCAAACUCGAAACAGAACUAAUAAAAAAAUUAAAUAGUUGGCAGGAUACAAGAGUGAGACAGAGGAAUGUACAAAGGACACACAGAGAUCAAAGAUUCCAGUAGGUGAAUUGAGAACCUGUUGAACUUGGGGUCUGUUUUUGUAGGAUUUUUCCUUUUGGAACAUGCAAAUUUGCAGGAGUUACCAUAACCACACACCAGAGUGACUUCAGGUGCUGAGUCCCUUACGGGACUUUUGCAGUGUUGAUCAAAACCCCCGGUGCUGCCCUAACUCCACCUCAUUUUCCAUCCUCCACCACGGCUGUGGAAAACUUCCAGGAGCCCAAAUUUGCUCUUCAGAUCUGCCACGAGGGUUUUGGAAACCCCUGGUGGAUUCCAAGUGUAAAAACAGACCCCAGCCCAACAGUAACUGCACACCAGUAGCUGCCAUUCCAACAUAAACCCAGGAUCUGAUCCGCGGAGCGGCUCCCGAGGCGCUCCCGGUACAAAAUGUACACGGAAUUAUUUAUAAAUUAACAGUUUUCCCCCAGGGUGGCACCGGGGCUCCUCGGCCUCCUUACACCAGCGUUUCUUUCCGCUUCCCGCUGAGCUGCUUCUCCCUGGAUUUCCGGUGCCCGGAUGAGGUUCUGUGGGAUUUCAGCCCUCUGGCUUCCCCCGAGUCCAGGCUGGAAGCGCACUCGGCCGCGCUCUCCUCCAGCUCCAUCUCGGAUAUUCCGGCCUGGCGCUGCUGGGCCGGGAGGUUGGGCACGGAGGGGUUGUUCUCCUCGGACUCCUCGCUCAGCUCGGGCAGCUCCUUGAGCUCGGGGGCGGGAAUGUUCCUCUGGAAUGGGGCGAUGGCCGUGCGGAUGCAGUUCACCCACUGCUGCUUGUGGAAGACAUCGUUGGCCUGCAGCGUGUGGGACUGGCCCGGGCUGGGAUCUUGGAAACGGACUCGGAAGAUGUUUUUGGCU